AAGCAUUUAGCAUUGGACAUCAUGCUAGCCUCUGGGGACAGAGAGUUACACAAAAUAUGACUCUCACCUUUAAAAGAUCAUAGUCUUUCUGGAGGUGUGGAAACUAUGAGCAGAGAGAUAGUAAUGCCAGGGACAGCAUCAGAAUUUGUAGAACUCUGUCUUAUCUGGGUGCAGAUACGUGAGCCCCAGCUACUGUUCCAGCACCGUGUCUGCCUGCCUUCUUCCAUGUUUCCUGCCAUGAUGGUCAUGGACUCUGAAACUGGCUAAACCGUGUGUCUCAAUGUUUGGUCCAGCACAUAUGUUCACAAUGGGGAAGCAAGGCAAACAGACGGCGAGGCUUGAUUCGCAGUAAGAAGUCAGGACGCUGUGUUUCCUUGUCCGGAGCAGCCCAUGUUGCACCUGGGUACCUGGCAAGAGCAGCUUAAGAAAGCAAGAGCUUAUUUUGGCAGAUCGAGGGUGGGGGAAGACAUGACCACAGGAGUACGAGGUCACCUGGAGUCCACAGUGAGAAAGCAGGCAAGCGAGCGCUCGUGCUCAGCUUGCUUUCUCUAAGCCUAGGAUCCCAGCCCACAGAACGCUGCAACCCACCCACCGCCUGGCUCUUCAUCAGAAAUGAAAUCCUUCUGGAAUCGCCCUCACAGACACACUAGAGGUGUGCUUCCUCAGUGAUCCCAAAAUCUAGCCAGAAUAGGUAUUCAUGGAAGCCAAGAAAAGUUACUCAACCCCUGAGGAUCAUGACCCAGACAGGGCUGGCCUUGGAUGUGUCUUGCAAGACACACAGGUGCGCCACCUAGCUUUACCAUGGACAACCACAUCAUGGAUAACUGACAUGCUGAGAAGGCCUGGGAUUUCCAUCCCCGACCCUCCUGCAGCAGUUGCAUGGGACAUCCGUUAGACUUUGCCCAGCUCUCUUCGAGACUUGCUCAGAGUUCCUGCUUCAUCGCCUUCCAGAGCAUCACAGUCCAUGUUCUCAUAGCUUUAUAUGUGGGAAGAUAAGUUCAGAAUAGCCCGGGGUGGUUUUCAUCCCAAUGUAGAUAAAAUUUCAGGGUGUGAAGUUCUUC
rnacentral:lncRNA from 1 species